rnacentral:tRNA from 1 species
GCUCCUCAUAGCCGCAGGUCGAAUCCUCCAUGGUAAGGAGGGGGUCGACGGUUCGAGUCCGUCAGAGGGCU